UUAAAAUAAUAAUAAAGAAUUUAUAACAUUAAAACAAAACUUAAUUCACAUGAUGAUUCACCAAAUUGUCUCUUAAAUACAAAUAUAACUUAAUAACAAAAAUCUAACAAAUAGUUGAAAAACCAUCAAUCUUCACCGACUUAUUUCCCCGCUAGAUUAAUGUGUCUUUCAACAUCAUUGGAAAUUUGUCAGUUUAGAUCAAAUUUUCUUAUUAUUCUUUAUUUGCCUUUAUCCUUUGAGGUAUUUACAUAAUGAGCACUAUUUUAUUUUCUCUUGCUUCAACUGUUUCUUUAUUGCACACUUUAUGAAAUGAUUCUAUUAAAGAAUCAUUUCUAACUUUAAUAGUUAUAAGACUAAUUGUGC
rnacentral:lncRNA from 1 species